rnacentral:rRNA from 1 species
GAUGAGCGCUGGCGGCGUGCCUAAUACAUGCAAGUCGAGCGAACGGACGAGAAGCUUGCUUCUCUGAUGUUAGCGGCGGACGGGUGAGUAACACGUGGAUAACCUACCUAUAAGACUGGGAUAACUUCGGGAAACCGGAGCUAAUACCGGAUAAUAUUUUGAACCGCAUGGUUCAAAAGUGAAAGACGGUCUUGCUGUCACUUAUAGAUGGAUCCGCGCUGCAUUAGCUAGUUGGUAAGGUAACGGCUUACCAAGGCAACGAUGCAUAGCCGACCUGAGAGGGUGAUCGGCCACACUGGAACUGAGACACGGUCCAGACUCCUACGGGAGGCAGCAGUGGGGAAUCUUCCGCAAUGGGCGAAAGCCUGACGGAGCAACGCCGCGUGAGUGAUGAAGGUCUUCGGAUCGUAAAACUCUGUUAUUAGGGAAGAACAUAUGUGUAAGUAACUGUGCACAUCUUGACGGUACCUAAUCAGAAAGCCACGGCUAACUACGUG